UCUGUAGUUUUAGGGGAAUGUUUGUAUUAUACUUCCAAUCUAUGAACAUUUUUCCUUAAAUGAAAAACGCUCAUUAAAUACAAAAUCUAAUUGUAUUUCUUUGUAUAUGAGGCGAAAUAAUAUUUUUUACAACAUAAGUAUUAGUUUUAGUAUUUGUGUCUUGUCUUGCUGGAUAGUGUGAACAAAUCAACGGCCUAAUUCUCGCUUGCAAUACGGUAGAUUCCUGUGAAAGAUUCUUAUUAUUGCCAUGUCCUUGAGAAUAUGUUCUAAUAUGAUCUGAAGAUCUGCAAGACCUCACUGCCAUAAGGGAACUAUCCUCCCAUUGAUCGAUGGGAAAGACUAAUCACCAAAUCAGUCAACAAAUGCCUUUGUAUUAUUGUGAAAAAUAAUAAUACAUUUGCUGAAAAUGAAAUUAUAUUUAAAAGAAAUGGUCCAGUUAUUCAAACCAUGCUCCGGAUUUCUUUAAAAGAUAGACAGGAACACGGGCAGGAUGUUUAUACAGCAAAAUGUAAACAUUUUCCCUGGCCUUCUUUAAAUAAAAAUUCAACCAUAAAGCCCCGUUAGAUCAGCUAAUACUCAAUCUGAUGCAUUAUGUCCGUUUUAGACACAACCUUUGGAGAGGACUUUUCCUCCAAAAUGCAGAAAUGUUAUUAUUCCUACAAUAAAUUGUUAUAUUUGCUCAGGGAACCUAUAGUAGCACGGCUCUAGACCUUUCCGAGAUCCAGGCAAGAAAUCACGGAUGGGGAAUUCAGAUCGACUCACUCUAAACUCUUCCCCAGGACGGUGCUCGAUUUGAUGAAGCGGCAAAUUCCUCGUUGAGCGGGGGGUGUCGAGGUGGGGGGGACAUACUGUCCUGCACCCAAUCAUAUCCCAACGCCUCUCUCCCCCACCCCUCCCCCUCAACCCCCCUACCUUCUCAGACGACCCCCUGACCCCCUCCACGUAUUUAGAUCUCGCCAUCGACGUGAGAGAGAAAAAAAGUGAUGAGUCACUCCGGCGCCGUGUUUACGUUCAGGAGUCACGCAAGGAAGGAAAUCGACCGCGCCGGGCUAAAAGUGUCGAGGCGCAGAAAGCACUGUGUCGGUAUUAGAGGGGCUCGGUGACUGUCCUCUUGUGCCUUGAGCUCAGAGCUGUUAACCCCUCAGGAUCUGCUGUGGUGUUCUCACACGAGCACAAUGUCAGGCACUGCUGGGAUAUUUAACACGAUUCUGCUGUUUAGUUGUGCUAAUAGAGCACUGUAAUUUUAGAGUGAUUUGUACCAGCAUGUCAAUGAAGUUAAAUGAUCCUUGUCGUGUGUGUGUGGGUAGUCAGUUUUAGCCCUCUGUGUUGGUAAUGGACUGAAAUGUAUGAGUUUUGUUAAAAGUUGCUGUUGUACAAUCAGAAAAUGUGCCUGUGUAAUGUUAUAAAUAUUUAUAUCAAAUAAUGAUAUAUCUGUUUUGUCAAAAUUAGCUAAAUGAUGUGUGAAAGACUGCGGAUGAAGAUCACAUUUCUUCUCAUUGUAAGAAAGUAACUGACGGACACAGAAACCGAUGUUGUGAUUUUGUACAUAGCGUGUGCCUAGCAGGGAUUGGGACUGAGACUGAAACCACCGUAGCCAAUGCCUGUGAUUGUAAUAGAAUGUCUGUCUUGGGCUACACAACACAUCCACACUGUUCUUGCAUUGCGACACAGUUGCAGAGAGAGAGUUGCCUUUGUUAGUUUUUGCUGUGUAAAUAAAUGUGAACGCCUGAUAGACAAGUCA